rnacentral:rRNA from 1 species
AGGACGAACGCUGGCGGCGUGCUUAACACAUGCAAGUGGAGCGACGAACCGGGGCUUGCCCCGGGGCAGAGCCGCGAACGGGUGAGUAACACGUGGGUUACCUGCCUCAAUGACCGGGACAACCCGAGGAAACUCGGGCUAAUACCGGAUGUGCCCGUAAGGGGAAAGGAAGCUUCGGCCUCCGCAUUGAGAUGGGCCCGCGGCCCAUUAGCUUGUUGGUGAGGUAACGGCUCACCAAGGCUUCGAUGGGUAGCUGGUCUGAGAGGACAAUCAGCCACACUGGGACUGAGACACGGCCCAGACUCCUACGGGAGGCAGCAGUGGGGAAUCUUGCGCAAUGCGCGAAAGCGUGACGCAGCAACGCCGCGUGGGGGAAGAAGGCUUUCGGGUUGUAAACCCCUUUCAGUUGGGACGAAGCUUCGUCGGUUAAUAGCCGACCGGAGUGACGGUACCUUCACAAGAGCACCGGCUAACUACGUGCCAGCAGCCGCGGUA